rnacentral:misc_RNA from 1 species
CUUUCCCACAUAAUCCUUCAGAGGAUUUACCCUCUCAAGUUUGGGGCGUAGGGUUCCGUUUCUGCUGCCUGCAAUUAAUUUCAGUUUAUUUACUGAAUUCGUAGAGCUUGCGUCCAUCACAUCUACAGAAUCCAACAUGGCAACCUCAUCAGUUGCAUUUAAGUCCAGGGAGGAUCACAGAAAGCAAAUUGAAUUGGAAGAAGCACGUAAAGCUGGACUUGCACCUGCUGAGGUUGACGAGGAUGGAAAGGAGAUUAAUCCUCAUAUUCCUCAGUAUAUGUCUUCUGCUCCUUGGUAUCUUGAUAAUUCUCAGAAACCUAGCUUGAGACAUCAAAGGAAGUGGAAAUCGGACCCAAAUUAUUCAAAGUCAUGGUAUGACAGAGGUGCAAAAGUUUAUCAAGCUGAAAAAUACAGGAAGGGUGCAUGUGAAAACUGUGGAGCCAUGACACAUGAUGCAAAGUCAUGCAUGGAAAGACCUCGGAAAGUGGGGGCAAAGUGGACUAAUAAACACAUCGCUCCUGAUGAAAAAAUAGAGUCAUUUGAGCUUGAUUAUGAUGGCAAGCGUGAUAGGUGGAAUGGUUAUGAGACAUCCAAUUUUGCUCGUGUUGUUGAGAGGUAUGAAGCACGAGAUGCAGCUCGGAGUAAGCAUCUAAAGGAGCAACAACUUAAGAAAUUAGAGGAGAAAAACAGUAACCAAACUGAUGAGGCUGGGGCUAGUGAUGAAGACAAUUAUGAAGAUGAUUUGAGGGUGGAUGAAGCCAAGGUCGAUGAGAGCAAACAAAUGGAUUUCGCUAAGGUAGAGAAGCGUGUACGAACAACUGGUGGGGGGAGCACAGGGACUGUUAGGAAUUUGCGUAUUCGGGAGGAUACAGCAAAAUAUCUUUUGAAUCUUGAUGUUAACUCUGCUCAUUAUGACCCCAAGACCCGGUCAAUGCGUGAGGAUCCUCUCCCAGAUGCAGAUCCAAAUGAGAAGUUUUAUGGGGGAGAUAAUCAAUACAGAAAUAGCGGUCAAGCUUUGGAGUUCAAGCAGUUGAACAUCCAUGCUUGGGAGGCAUUUGACAAGGGCCAAGAUAUUCACAUGCAGGCAGCUCCAUCCCAAGCAGAGUUGCUAUACAAGAAUUAUAAGGUCAUAAAGGAGAAACUAAAGACCCAAACAAAGGACAUGAUUAUGGAGAAGUAUGGCAAUGCUGCCAGUGGAGAAGAACUCCCAAAAGAGCUCUUACUGGGACAAACUGAACGACAAGUUGAAUAUGAUCGUGCUGGACGGAUAAUAAAGGGGCAGGAGACUGUGCUUCCUAAAAGCAAGUAUGAAGAAGAUAUUUACAUUAACAAUCACACAAGUGUGUGGGGUUCAUGGUGGAAGGAUCAUCAAUGGGGCUACAAGUGCUGCAAGCAGACUAUUCGGAACAGCUAUUGCACAGGUGCUGCUGGAAUUAAGGCUGCUGAGGCUGCAAUUGAUCUCAUGAAGGCUAACAUUGCUCGCAAAGAGACCACUGAAGAGUUACCAGCACCAGUGGAGGAGAAAAGGCUUGCUACUUGGGGAACUGAAGUUCCAGAUGAUCUGGUUUUGGAUGAGAAGUUGCUUGCUGAAGCACUUAAAAAGGAGAAUGAGAGAAAGAAAGAAGAGAAAGAUGAAAGGAAGCGCAAGUAUAAUGUUACAUGGAAUGACGAGGUUACACCCGAAGAGAUGGAGGCAUAUAGGAUGACGAAAAUACAUCAUGAUGACCCAAUGAAGAAUUUCCUACACUAGGUUUUAUAUAUGCACAUCUAGCUCUGGUGGAUUAUUCAAGGCCUGAUUUCCUAGUUCGGCUCAGUCAAGUUGGCAACUAGCUAUGCUGUAGUUCGUUGUACUGCUCUCCCUGUGGCAAUGUAUCCACUUGGGGGCUGCUUGUUUAAGUUGAAAUGAAUGUUCCUCUAUGCAGGCAACGCUGUGUGGUCAUUGUAGAAAAGUACGUUGAGUGUACUCCAUGGAAAGCAGGGAAGUGAUUAUUGUGCUGUCCAACUCCAAUUUGUAUUUGGGCUUUAACUAGAGUUUUAAGUUCAUCAACAGUUCAACAGCCCCUAUCGGAAACAUUACAAUAAUGUAUGAAUGUUCAUCAAGUAUUAUUGCAAGUGCAUAAGACCGGACCACACUAAAGUGAUUAUUCAGUGAAAUUGCUAUAUAUAUAUGUGAGGAAUAUAUUUU